rnacentral:rRNA from 1 species
GUGGGGAAUAUUGGACAAUGGGCGAAAGCCUGAUCCAGCCAUGCCGCGUGUGUGAAGAAGGUCUUCGGAUUGUAAAGCACUUUAAGUUGGGAGGAAGGGCAGUAAGUUAAUACCUUGCUGUUUUGACGUUACCGACAGAAUAAGCACCGGCUAACUCUGUGCCAGCAGCCGCGGUAAUACAGAGGGUGCAAGCGGUAAUCGGAAUUACUGGGCGUAAAGCGCGCGUAGGUGGUUUUGUAAGUUGGAGGUGAAAUCCCCGGGCUCAACCUGGGAACUGCCUCCAAAACUGCAUGACUAGAGUACGGUAGAGGGUAGUGGAAUUUCCUGUGUAGCGGUGAAAUGCGUAGAUAUAGGAAGGAACACCAGUGGCGAAGGCGACUACCUGGACUGAUACUGACACUGAGGUGCGAAAGCGUGGGGAGCAAACAGGAUUAGAUACCCCAGUAGUCC